GCUAGCGUAGCUUACAUAAAGCGUAACUCUGAAGAUGU
rnacentral:tRNA from 1 species